GCCAAUUCACUCCAUUCUUUUUCUCUCCCACUAGGAACCUAGCCGCUGCACGCCGCCCGUCGCCCACCGCUGUGGCCCGACGCCCCAUGCCCAUGAGAUGCGAGCCGGUGACGACCGCCGCAUCGAGACACGCGGCGCGCCCCUGAUCGAUGAAGAUCAGCGCCCGAGCCCCGCCCACGACCAGUGGAAACCAGCACCCCGUGCCGCCAUCCCCGACCCCCCGCGCCGUCAGUCGCUCCACUGUCUGCGACACGGCCGUCCGCUGCCGCUGACGACCGCCGCAUCGAGGCACCCGGCGCGCCCCUAAUCGAUGAAGAUCGGCGUCCCGAGCCAAGGGCCCGAUCAAUGGAGACCGGCGCCCCGCGCCGCCAUCCCCGACCCGCAGUCAAUCGCUCCACUGCCCGCAACACGGCCGUCCGCCGCCGGUGCUCCGCGCCCUGAUGACUGGUUCAGCAUCUGCACUCCAUCACCACUCAUCACCACCGGUCUUCUUCAACUCUGUUCGUCGGCUCGCUGCCUACUGCCCUCUUUCGUUUCUCCACAUCGCAGCUGAAGAGAUGAUUGAAGAAUUAGGGAAAGCACAAGGUCCAUGGUGGUGCUGAAAUUGAUUUGUUUGAUGUCAAGUACUAUGUUAUCAAGUACUAAGUGAUGCUGGUCUGCUGUUUGCUACUUGUGAUCUUCUUACUUUGUGUCAAAUAUAAAUGGUGUUGCUUGUUAUCUUCUCACUUCUUGUCAAAUGUAAAUGUUGUUGCUUUUUAUCUUCUUACUUUCUAUCAAAUAUAAAUGAUAUGCAUACAUGAUUCUUGCUGC